rnacentral:misc_RNA from 1 species
CUUUACUUUAAAUAUUCCCUAUAUUUAUAAUUUAUAUAGACAACAUAGGAAACCUUUUUUAUUCGGUUUGUUAUAUCUGGUUGAUAGAUAAGAUUGUCUAGCUGUCACGACGAAACAAUUAUUGAUUAAUAUUUAAAAGAUAGUUAUUUAAGAAAUUAUUUGUGAUUUUGGAUUCGACACUGGAAUUAAUAACAUUAAAUGUCGUUUCUUUUAUUACAGAGAAACUCAAUUGUGUUUUAAUUGAUUGUGUCGUCUAAAUCACAAGAAAAUUUUAUCUUACAAAACGACAUUUCUUGUCAAAAAAAAAAAAAUAAAAAAAUGGAAAAGCUGAAAUUUUCAUUUCAAGUAAAACCAACGCCAGACGGAAAGUCAAACUAUAUUGCCAUAACCU